CUGGACCCCAAUGGACACCCAAAUGAACUGGACCAACCACUUGUCAGCGAGACAAGUCCUGAUAAGGAGUCUACCACAUAAGUUGAUGUGCCCUCUUGAAGAGAGGUGCUACAUUUUGGUACUCAUUUCUUACAGACUCAUACACAAGAGCAACAUAAUACUCUGAACAUUGUGUGACUGAGAACAGGCAUGGAGGGAUUCUACGAUGACGGACAGACAACUGAGCCAAUGACGGAAGACUACACCCCAGCCUGAGCCUGAACCAAUCCGAAGAACCAAACUUCUAGAAUCAACCUACUUUCUGUUCUGUAUUAAUUGCUUGUGCAAACGAUUAGCGGGGCUUUUUUUGUUGGUUCCUCAUGAGCUAAUAGAAGGGCCCGUAUAUACGCUGUACCAGAUAUCUUUACUCUGAAUAAACUGUCGCUUGUCAUACAAUC